AGCAUGUUCUAAUUUUUUUCGCCGCAACGUUAAUUCACACCAAACAUUUCAUCUCAAACCUCAAGGCCGAUUUCGAAAUUAUAUCUCGCGCUCAGUACCCCCUUUAUUCUUCCCUCAGCGUUCCCUGCGUCUCACCCGUCGCCGGUGGUUCUCGCGAGUCUCCGUCGCCGCUGGGUCUCGCCCGUCGCCGGUGGUACUCCAGCAAGGGUAUAUUUCCUCGCCUCCUCGCCUCCUCACCAGUGGUUCCUUGGGGAUUUGGGAGUUAUGUAUUUUCGUAUCGGCGGCAGAGCACCACUCCACCGUAGCGACGUGAGUGACGGCGCUUAGAGUGCUCGAUAAAGAAGAUCCACUUCAUCUUAUCUAAUAUUCCUCCUCUAGGAAACGUUGAUGAGAAAGAUGCUAUUGAGAUGUGGAGUGCAGGUGAUACCCCUUUCUUGUUUGAUUAAUUGGCUUCUGGUGUCCAUCAAUUUCUUUUGUUUUCACACCCUAUGAUUUCUCAUUCUUAUUUAUCCAGAUUAGUCUUAGCGCUGCAGACUUGGGGGAGACUUUAUGCUCCCUGAACUUUUCUAGUCGAGUCAAGGGAAUCGAAUAUGGUCCAUAUUUGGUUGGUUGCUUUUUUGUUCUGUUCUGUAUGAGAUAUUGGUGCAUUCCCAUUGUGUAUUAGCUAGACAUUUGUCCUCUGAGUAUGAACUUAUGUUGGAAAUAUGGUAGAAUAGGUAGGAAUUUCUUCACUCUUAGACCAAUUAAAGGGUUCAAAUGGUAUUUCUAAACUAGCAGAACUGUGAUGGAUGGAUGGCCUUCAAGCGAAUUGUAUACAUGUAGAGUUCACCUCUUAUAUACUCGAAUGCAUAGAGAUUGUAUGCGUACAGUUUAAGGCCGGCUAGAGAUAGUCACGUUACACCAUGACUACGAAGGCCGGCUAGAUGAGGUCUAUACUCCGAGGAAUGCGCCUUAUGCUAGUGAGGAAAUUGAUGUGGUUCGUGAGCAAUGGGCUAAGUUUUUUACGAGCAAGUAUUUAUUAUUGGCCUGAGCGCGCUUGAUUGAGUAGGUUUAGAUGUUAUAGAACAAUCUUUUACUUCGUAUAUUAAAAUGUAUGCGUUCCUUGAAAUUGGAACGUACAUAUAUUUAAAUGUAUAUGGUACGUGCACUUUGGUUUUGGAAUAUAUACAAAACUACAGUUAUUGUUUUUA